rnacentral:rRNA from 1 species
GUAGGUGGCAAGCGUUGUCCGGAAUUAUUGGGCGUAAAGCGCGCGCAGGCGGUUCUUUAAGUCUGAUGUGAAAGCCCACGGCUCAACCGUGGAGGGUCAUUGGAAACUGGAGAACUUGAGUACAGAAGAGGAAAGCGGAAUUCCACGUGUAGCGGUGAAAUGCGUAGAGACGUGGAGGAACACCAGUGGCGAAGGCGGCUUUCUGGUCUGUAACUGACGCUGAGGCGCGAAAGCGUGGGGAGCAAACAGGGAUUAGAUACCCUGGUAGUCCACGCCGUAAACGAUGAGUGCUAAGUGUUAGGGGGUUUCCGCCCCCUUAGUGCUGCAGCUAACGCAUUAAGCACUCCGCCUGGGGAGUACGGCCGCAAGGCUG